GAGUGACAAAGGCAAACCCGUUCAUGUCUGUAAAGUGUGGCGGGGACGCAAAGCUACGGAACCUUUAAGGUUUGUCGUGCUACCACUACUAAUAUAGAUACUAUUUGUUUCUUAUAGUAUCUUAAGGUUGGCCGAGUUGCCAAG
rnacentral:ncRNA from 1 species